rnacentral:rRNA from 1 species
AGUGAACGCUGGCGGUAGGCCUAACACAUGCAAGUCGAACGGCAGCACAGUAAGAGCUUGCUCCUACGGGUGGCGAGUGGCGGACGGGUGAGGCAUACAUCGGAAUCUACUUUUUCGUGGGGGAUAACGUAGGGAAACUUACGCUAAUACCGCAUACGAUCUACGGGUGAAAGCAGGGGAUAUUCGGACCUUGCGCGAUUGAAUGAGCCGAUGUCGGAUUAGCUAGUUGGCGGGGUAAAGGCCCACCAAGGCGACGAUCCGUAGCUGAUCUGAGAGGAUGAUCAGCCACACUGGAACUGAGACACGGUCCAGACUCCUACGGGAGGCAGCAGUGGGGAAUAUUGGGCAAUGGGCGCAAGCCUGAUCCAGCCAUGCCGCGUGAGUGAUGAAGGCCUUCGGGUUGUAAAGCCCUUUUGUUGGGAAAGAAAAGCAGCAUAUUAAUACCCCGCUGUUCUGACGGUACCCAAAGAAUAAGCACCGGCUAACUUCGUG